rnacentral:rRNA from 1 species
AGCGAACGCUGGCGGCAGGCUUAACACAUGCAAGUCGAGCGGGCGUAGCAAUACGUCAGCGGCAGACGGGUGAGUAACGCGUGGGAACGUACCUUUUGGUUCGGAACAACACAGGGAAACUUGUGCUAAUACCGGAUAAGCCCUUACGGGGAAAGAUUUAUCGCCGAAAGAUCGGCCCGCGUCUGAUUAGCUAGUUGGUGAGGUAACGGCUCACCAAGGCGACGAUCAGUAGCUGGUCUGAGAGGAUGAUCAGCCACAUUGGGACUGAGACACGGCCCAAACUCCUACGGGAGGCAGCAGUGGGGAAUAUUGGACAAUGGGCGCAAGCCUGAUCCAGCCAUGCCGCGUGAGUGAUGAAGGCCCUAGGGUUGUAAAGCUCUUUUGUGCGGGAAGAUAAUGACGGUACCGCAAGAAUAAGCCCCGGCUAACUUCGUGCCAGCAGCCGCGGUAAUACGAAGGGGGCUAGCGUUGCUCGGAAUCACUGGGCGUAAAGGGUGCGUAGGCGGGUCUUUAAGUCAGGGGUGGAAUCCUGGAGCUCAACUCCAGAACUGCCUUUGAUACUGAAGAUCUUGAGUUCGGGAGAGGUGAGUGGAACUGCGAGUGUAGAGGUGAAAUUCGUAGAUAUUCGCAAGAACACCAGUGGCGAAGGCGGCUCACUGGCCCGAUACUGACGCUGAGGCACGAAAGCGUGGGGAGCAAACAGG